rnacentral:lncRNA from 1 species
AAAUUGUAUACAUUGGGGAAAAGUUAUUUCGUUAAAAAUUUUACACCGUGAGCCAAAUCACAGCUGGCUGUCAGACAUCCGUUUUCUUCACGCAAUGCGUCGACCGUAAAAUGCAGUGCCUAGAAGUAGCAGUGUGAAGGUUUGCCGCGUCACUUCCGUUUGUUUUCCUGCUCGAACUUGCUCCCAGGGCCCUGCCUGCAGUGCCAAUGCCUCUGUCCACCUGCCUCGCCAUUUCCCUGCUGGAUGCCCUCACCUAUACUGUUUCUCUUUCUCUUUCUCCCUUUCUUGUCUUCUGUCCACACCUUCCUGUUUUCCUUUCCUUUUCCCUACGUCCUGCCACGACCUCCAAACCCCUACCCUCUCCUGACCUUUGCGGUGACCUUGCUGCCCUCCCUGCUGGCCACCUGUGCUUUGUGACCUCAGCAGAUACUGCCCAUCGGCGUGCGAACAAUGCACCAAAUAAGUCCUCUAAACCUAAAGCGCCUCAAGCAGGGUGA